rnacentral:rRNA from 1 species
GACGAACGCUGGCGGCGUGCCUAAUACAUGCAAGUUGAGCGCUGAAGGUUGGUACUUGUACCAACUGGAUGAGCAGCGAACGGGUGAGUAACGCGUGGGGAAUCUGCCUUUGAGCGGGGGACAACAUUUGGAAACGAAUGCUAAUACCGCAUAAAAACUUUAAACACAAGUUUUAAGUUUGAAAGAUGCAAUUGCAUCACUCAAAGAUGAUCCCGCGUUGUAUUAGCUAGUUGGUGAGGUAAAGGCUCACCAAGGCGAUGAUACAUAGCCGACCUGGGAGGGUGAUCGGCCACCUUGGGACUGAGACACGGCCCAAACUCCUACGGGAGGCAGCAGGAGGGAAUCUUCGGCAAUGGACGAAAGUCUGACCGAGCAACGCCGCGUGAGUGAAGAAGGGUUUCGGAUCGUAAAACUCUGUUGGUAGAGAAGAACGUUGGUGAGAGUGGAAAGCUCAUCAAGUGACGGUAACUACUCAGAAAGGGACGGCUAACUACGUG